rnacentral:lncRNA from 1 species
GCAAGCCACUAUGGUUGGCCCUUUCCAGCUUUAUUGAGCUAAGCUUUCUGGCCCCCAGAUCUGCACCUGACCUUUACCACCUCCUCAUCAUCCACUCUGGUCUGCAUCCUCUUGACCGCGUCUGAGUCUCCUUUGGGGCUGGAUGUCUGCUUCAGCAUUAGGAAAUGGACACAUCUAUAGAAUCUCUCAUGGCAACACACCAAGUAUUGUAAACUUCGUCCUUUCAACAAGUUAUAUUACUAAAAAUCGACAAACUGAACUCACAUGAAUGUGUACUUACAGAGUUGUGGCUCCUGAUUCUAUUUAAGGCAUAUAGGAGGAUUGCUCUUUUUUGACUCCUCGAACUUUAAGCAAUCCCAUAGGUCUUCCUUUGGCAAUAAAAUGUGAGCAGAGGUACCAUGAAUCACUUCCUGAUUGAAGUGUUAAAGUGAAUGUGUGUGGCUUUUCAUGCUGUGCCUUAUCUUGCUGCUGUGGUUAUCGAAGCUCUGACGAUAUGGAGGUGUAACCUGGGAUACUGACUUCCAUCAUGUAGGUCAGUUGUCCUGGAGAAUUACCUAAGCCCAGCAGAAAUUGUGUGAAAGAUAAAUAAAUCUUCAAUGCAUUAGGUAUUGAGAUUUGGGGGCUGUUUAUUACCAUAAUAUUUACCCCGCCUAUCAUGACUAAGAGAACGACUUUUUUUAUAAUGUGUUAAUAGCUAGUAGAUUCACGGUAAAAAAAAUAAUAAUAAUAAGUUAAAAAACAACAGAAAGCCAUUUCUUCAACUGCCUGCAGAGCAUGAACGUGAUAGGUAUAGGAUUCCUCAAAAGACGUAUUUAUGACUGCUAUCUUAAAUAGAAUUUUAGUAACUAGAA